rnacentral:rRNA from 1 species
GACGAACGCUGGCGGCGUGCUUAACACAUGCAAGUCGAACGGAAAGGCCCUGCUUUUGUGGGGUGCUCGAGUGGCGAACGGGUGAGUAACACGUGAGUAACCUGCCCUUGACUUUGGGAUAACUUCAGGAAACUGGGGCUAAUACCGGAUAGGAGCUCCUGCUGCAUGGUGGGGGUUGGAAAGUUUCGGCGGUUGGGGAUGGACUCGCGGCUUAUCAGCUUGUUGGUGGGGUAGUGGCUUACCAAGGCUUUGACGGGUAGCCGGCCUGAGAGGGUGACCGGCCACAUUGGGACUGAGAUACGGCCCAGACUCCUACGGGAGGCGGCAGUGGGGAAUAUUGCGCAAUGGGCGGAAGCCUGAUGCAGCAACGCCGCGUGCGGGAUGACGGCCUUCGGGUUGUAAACCGCUUUCGCCUGUGACGAAGCGUGAGUGACGGUAAUGGGUAAAGAAGCACCGGCUGACUACGUG